CGGUCUGGAAAGGCCCGCCAAAGACGGUAACAGCCCGGUAGUUGAAAUGGCUUUCCCUCCAGAGUGGAUCCUGAGUACGGCGGAACACGUGAAAUUCCGUCGGAAUCCGGGAGGACCAUCUCCCAAGGCUAAAUACUCCCUAGUGACCGAUAGUGAACCAGUACCGUGAGGGAAAGGUGAAAAGCACCCCGGAAGGGGAGUGAAACAGUUCCUGAAACCGUGUGCCUACAAGUAGUUAGAGCCCGUUAAUGGGUGAUAGCGUGCCUUUUGUAGAAUGAACCGGCGAGUUACGAUUUGUUGCAAGGUUAAGCGGAAAAAGCGGAGCCGUAGCGAAAGCGAGUCUGAAUAGGGCGCAUAAGUAACAGGUCGUAGACCCGAAACCAGGUGAUCUACCCAUGUCCAGGAUGAAGGUAAGGUAAUACUUACUGGAGGUCCGAACCCACGCACGUUGAAAAGUGCGGGGAUGAGGUGUGGGUAGCGGAGAAAUUCCAAUCGAACUUGGAGAUAGCUGGUUCUCUCCGAAAUAGCUUUAGGGCUAGCCUCGAGGUAAAGAGUCAUGGAGGUAGAGCACUGUUUGGACUAGGGGCCCUUCUCGGGUUACCGAAUUCAGAUAAACUCCGAAUGCCAUGUACUUAUACUCGGGAGUCAGACUGCGAGUGAUAAGAUCCGUAGUCGAAAGGGAAACAGCCCAGACCACCAGUUAAGGUCCCCAAAUAUAUGUUAAGUGGAAAAGGAUGUGGGGUUGCUUAGACAACCAGGAUGUUGGCUUAGAAGCAGCCACCAUUGAAAGAGUGCGUAAUAGCUCACUGGUCGAGUGACCCCGCGCCGAAAAUGUACCGGGGCUAAACAUAUUACCGAAACUGUGGAUGAACCUCUUUAGAGGUUCGUGGUAGGAGAGCGUUCUAAGGGCGGUGAAGUCAGACCGGAAGGACUGGUGGAGCGCUUAGAAGUGAGAAUGCCGGUAUGAGUAGCGAAAGAAGGGUGAGAAUCCCUUCCACCGAAUAUCUAAGGUUUCCUGAGGAAGGCUCGUCCGCUCAGGGUUAGUCGGGACCUAAGCCGAGGCCGAUAGGCGUAGGCGAUGGACAACAGGUAGAGAUUCCUGUACCAGUGCUAAUUGUUUAACCGAUGGGGUGACACAGAAGGAUAGGGAAUCGCACGAAUGGAAAUGUGCGUCCAAGCAGUGAGUGUGAGAAGUAGGCAAAUCCGCUUCUCGCGAAGCAUGAGCUGUGAUGGGGAAGGAAAUUAAGUACGGAAGUUCCUGAUUUCACGCUGUCAAGAAAAGCCUCUAGGAAGAGUAGUACUGCCCGUACCGCAAACCGACACAGGUAGAUGAGGAGAGAAUCCUAAGGUGAGCGAGAGAACUCUCGUUAAGGAACUCGGCAAAAUGACCCCGUAACUUCGGGAGAAGGGGUGCUCUAUUAGGGUGCAAGCCCGAGAGAGCCGCAGUGAAUAGGCCCAGGCGACUGUUUAGCAAAAACACAGGUCUCUGCAAAACCGUAAGGUGACGUAUAGGGGCUGACGCCUGCCCGGUGCUGGAAGGUUAAGAGGAGUGCUUAGCUUCGGCGAAGGUACGAAUUGAAGCCCCAGUAAACGGCGGCCGUAACUAUAACGGUCCUAAGGUAGCGAAAUUCCUUGUCGGGUAAGUUCCGACCCGCACGAAAGGCGCAACGAUCUGGGCACUGUCUCAACGAGAGACUCGGUGAAAUUAUAGUACCUGUGAAGAUGCAGGUUACCCGCGACAGGACGGAAAGACCCCGUGGAGCUUUACUGCAACCUGAUAUGGAAUGUUUGUACCGCUUGUACAGGAUAGGUAGGAGCCGAAGAGACGUGUGCGCUAGCAUACGAGGAGGCAAUGGUGGGAUACUACCCUGGCUGUAUGACCAUUCUAACCCGCCACGCUUAGCGCGUGGGGAGACAGUGUCAGGUGGGCAGUUUGACUGGGGCGGUCGCCUCCUAAAGAGUAACGGAGGCGCCCAAAGGUUCCCUC
rnacentral:rRNA from 1 species